rnacentral:pre_miRNA from 1 species
CGUUUCUAAGGUCUGCCAAAUUGUCUGAUCGCAAAUUUGGCACACCUAAGGAGCACU